rnacentral:rRNA from 1 species
CAUGUAGGCGGCAUGACAAGUCUGGUGUGAAAUAUCUCGGCUCAACCGAGAAAACGCACUGGAAACUGUCAAGCUUGAGUAUCGGAGGGGAAGCUAGAAUUCCUGGUGUAGGGGUGAAAUCUGUAGAUAUCAGGAAGAAUACCGGUGGCGAAGGCGAGCUUCUGGCCAGAUACUGACGCUGAGAUUCGAAAGCGUGGGGAGCGAACAGGAUUAGAUACCCUGGUAGUCC